CCUACGGGAGGCAGCAGUGGGGAAUAUUGCACAAUGGGGGAAACCCUGAUGCAGCGACGCCGCGUGAGUGAAGAAGUAUUUCGGUAUGUAAAGCUCUAUCAGCAGGGAAGAAAAUGACGGUACCUGAUUAAGAAGCCCCGGCUAACUACGUGCCAGCAGCCGCGGUAAGACGUAGGGGGCAAGCGUUAUCCGGAUUUACUGGGUGUAAAGGGAGCGUAGACGGCAGCACAAGUCUGGAGUGAAAUGCCGGGGCUUAACCCCGGAACUGCUUUGGAAACUGUGCAGCUAGAGUGCAGGAGAGGUAAGUGGAAUUCCUAGUGUAGCGGUGAAAUGCGUAGAUAUUAGGAGGAACACCAGUGGCGAAGGCGGCGUACCGGACUGUAACUGACGUUGAGGCUCGAAAGCGUGGGGAGCAAACAGGAUUAGAUACCCUAGUAGUC
rnacentral:rRNA from 1 species